rnacentral:rRNA from 1 species
UUUAAAUAGCUGCAGUAUAUUAACUGUACAAAGGUAGCAUAAUAAUUAGUCUUUUAAUUGAGGUCUAGAAUGAACGGUUUAACAAAGUAAAAACUUUCUUAUUUUAAAUAUUUUGAAUUUAAUUUUUUGGUUAAAAAGCCAAAAUUUUUAAAUGGGACGAUAAGACCCUAUAGAUCUUAAAUUUUUUUUUAAUUAAGUAAAUUGGUUUAAAAAAUGUUUAAUUUUUAAAAAAAUUUUUGUUGGGGUGACAUUAAAAUUUUUAAAUCUUUUAAUUAUUUUUACAUUUAUAAAUGUAUAUUUGAUCUUAACUUUUAGAUUAAAAAAUUAAGAUACCUUAGGGAUAACAGCGUAAUAAAUUUGAAUAGUUCAUAUUGAUAAAUUUGUUUACGACCUCGAUGUUGAAUUAAUUAAAAAUUUUAGAGCAGGCACUUAAAAUUUAGGUCUGUUCGACCUUUAAUUUUUUACA